GCUGAGAUGUCCGAGCGGUCUAAGGAGCUGGAUUCAAGUGAACACAUCAAACACUUACGACAACAUACAGUCUGUACUUCCCAGUAGAGCAAUCUGCGGGGGUUCGAAUCCCCCUCUCAGCA
rfam:Puccinia graminis f. sp. tritici CRL 75-36-700-3 supercont2.75 genomic scaffold, whole genome shotgun sequence.